rnacentral:lncRNA from 1 species
AUGACAUCAUCGUCCGACGAGGAAGACGGAAGGCAUUUUUCGGAGCAGGCGAGCUCUGAUGAAAGCGGCGUCAAUGAGCAGCAACUAAACGACACAAUUUGGAAUAACGUACGUGAUAACAUUUUCUCAUCCUUACGGCAACUAUCAUCGAAUAGAACAGAGAGCGCGCCCAACGAGGUUUUUUCGUCGCACGAGCAGUGUAAUUUUCAAGAUUAUAUUUUCUCAUCAAGUACGAAUUGCACUUUUGGCCAACUGAUAUACAAUCUAGUGGAGGAGUCUUCAUUCGUUCUUCAGAAUCAAAAUUUCUCCGAGCGGAAUCUUCUAGACACGAUGCCAGACACUAAUUCCAUCUCAGGACGGCGGAAGGCAUCUUUAAAGUACAUCACUUUUCUACUAGGCGUCUUGGUCGUCAAACUUCUGAUUGUAUUACCGCUGGUUAUUUUAACGGCCGGUAAAUCCAUAGCCUUGAGUCUCCUGUCAUUGGGCGUUUGCUACCGCUAAUGUAUUUCAAAAUAAAAUAAUCUACCCUACAUGAAGCGUCGAGACGAGGUUUCGCCGUUUGCAUACGACAAAUUUUCUCUCGGACCCCAUAGCUUUAGAUGAUUUGUGUGAUCCAUCCGAUGAAACGUGGAUUACAUGGUAGGCGCUUUAAUAAAGUUCCAACCUGAAAAAGAGUCUUGAUGUAUUUAUUUAGCAAGGGCCCACCUAUGAGAUAUACUUUAGACACUAGGAAAAAUGAGCAUUGAUAUCGACGGUGAACUGCAGGAAUGCGUAUCUCGUUUUGCGGCGUUGCUAACUUCUCGUCAUAUUUUAUUUUUACAUAAAAUUUACUGAACGUCAUGUUUUGAAAACUGCAGUGAUUUAACUGCUUUAUAUAAAGAAUAUUCCGUAAAAAUUUCAAACUAUGAAGUUUGUUUGGUACAAUGUGAAAAAUAAAAUAAAACCGGAUAUUCUGAAGCACCGAAAUCGAGUUACGCAUUUUUGUAGUUCCAUCGUCGAUAUGUGAAGUCAACAACGAUACGUUACAAGUAACAAUACAAUACAUAUGUCGCAGGCAAUUAGUAAAAUCAGGCAUUUUAUCAAAUGCCUGGGCACAUGGUCAAUUCCAACUGUUUACGAAAUGUUGUUGUAAAUUUAGACGAAGAGCUCACGAUUUUUCAAUACUUUGGAAAGAAUUAAUCAUCAAAGCUGCAAAAUCUCUUGUUCUUUCCUCCUCAAAUGCUUAUCAUUUAUUUAAACCUUAAAGUUUUAAUCAUUUUUGUUAAUAGCACGGGUAAAGAGCCUCCCAAAAAAAGGGCCUUUUUUGGCCCCUUUUCUGAAACUCGGGGAUUUCAUUCAAAUGUGGCCUAAACGAAAACUCAUGAUGACCUAAGACUCCAGUAAUAAUUUUAGCUUGAGUAUACGUCUGGUCGGAGAUACAGCGUUGCAAAGUUUGCAUAUUUAAGCUUUAAAAAUCUUCAUGUUUUCAAAUAUUAUCUUCCUAAACCAACAUCAGAGUGAACUUUACAAUCUAAAACAAAGCGUAAAUGAAGCAUAAUGAUAAAAAAAGCCUCCAUUAAGAGUUUUAGCUCAUGCAUGACCCCUGUUUUGGUAGUGCAACGUUGCAAGUUUACCUUUCUGAGCUUUAAAAAUGCUCAUAUUUUUAAGUUUCUUGUUUAAAAACCAAUUUUAGUGAAUAUCAAACUGCACUUUGAGGGAUAAAAUUAAUCCCUAGUGGUACUCGUGUAUGCAAAGUUGCGUUGAUAUAAGGCUACGAGGAUUUCAAGUAACACAGCGUUGCACAGUUUACAUCCUAAAUCUCUGAAAAUGUCUUUUCUCUUGUUUUAUGAUAAGAGACAAUUCGAUCAAGCAUGUUUCGAUAUUGUAAAGCGAAAUACAAAGGACUCUGGUUAGUUCUACUUAAGUGACAGUUGGUGUAAAAAAUGACACUGUUGCCUAUUUUUCCUUUUUUCUCUCAACAUUUAAUCAUAAAAUAACAUUAAAAUUAGGAUACUUCCAAUAAUUAUCUAAUUUCAAAACAAAUUCAAGAGACUUUGCCAUGCUCGAUGAAAUACUCAGCAUCAGCGUUGCUUUCAAAAUCCAACAAAUAAUGCCUCACCAUAGUUGCCAAUUCGACCUUUUUUAAGUAAAAUGAAAAAAUAAAAAUAGAAUACGGAAUUUGUAGAGUUUUUUUUUUAAUUAUAAAUAUAUCUUGAUCUAGAGAAUAUUCAUACCUUGAAAAAUAGAGUACCUCCACUGUUUUUAAAAAAAAUUUAAAAAAUUAAAAAUAUUGAAAAAAAAUUAAAAAUUAAAAAUAUUUGAAAAAUUUUUUUAAAAAAUUAAAAGUAUUGAAGAAAUUUUAAAAAAUGUGAAAAAAAUUUAAAAAUUAAAAAAAAAAAAUAAAAAUUAAAAAGUAAAAUAAAAUUAAAAAACCCAAAUAAAGUAUCAAUUAUUUGAGGCAUCUUGACUUUAAAUAAUUUUAUUAUUCAUUGUUUGAAAAGAAGUAUUAAAAACUUAGCAAUAGUAUUUUUGCGAAUACCAAUCGUCGCUGGAACUGACAUCAGCCCCCGACAUUUUCCCUUGAUAUAAGGUAUGACACCCAUUGACGUCCUCUUUAACUAGCAUAAAAUAAUAAUUUCUAGAAUUUAAAGUUGUUAGCUUGGCAACGUUUGUAUCACCACCAAAUGUAAUCCCUGUUUAAAUACAAACAUAGAGCUACAAAUGACACAUUUGGUAUAUUUCAUGCUGUAAAUUCUAAAGAAGAUCCACGAAAGUCGUUUUUUUAAACGCGGAACUUAGAAAUAUAAACAUUUUAAAGCUGAAAUGUAUAAACUUAGCAACGCUGUAUCAUUAAAUCUGUACUUACGCUCGCGGUAAGGCCUAUACGGAAGACUUAUCAUAUAUAAAAUUACAUCUAAACACCAUACACAGAUCUUUUGGUGAUCAAUAAGUUCGUUUUUCCAUUCAGAACUUACAAAAAUAAGCAAUUUUUAUAUUGUUUUUGGUG